GCGACGGAGAAGGAUAGAUGAGCCCAGGUGAUGGUUAUCCUGGGGUAAAUGUGUAGGAAGACUGAUAGGUAAAUCCGUUAGUCACAUAUUCUGAGACAUGAUGCCGAGCCGCUUUUAGGCGAAGUCAUUGAUUCCAUACUUCCAAGAAAAACUUCUAGUUAGUUUUUUUAGUGCCCGUACCCCAAACCGACACAGGUGGACAAGUAGAGAAUACUAAGGCGAGCGAGAUAACUCUGGUUAAGGAACUCGGCAAAAUAGUUCCGUAACUUCGGGAGAAGGAACGCCCAAGUAAAGUGAUUAAUUAACUUUAUGAGCUUGAACGGGCCGCAGUGAUCAGACUCAAGCGACUGUUUAUCAAAAACACAGGAGGGUGCAAAGUUCUAAUACAACGUAUACCCUCUGACACCUGCCCGGUGCUGGAAGGUUAAGUGGAGAGGUUAGCUUCGGCGAAGCUUUGAAAUUAAGCCCCAGUAAACGGCGGCCGUAACUAUAACGGUCCUAAGGUAGCGAAAUUCCUUGUCGGGUAAGUUCCGACCUGCACGAAUGGUGUAACGAUUUGAGUACUGUCUCAACCAGAGACUCGGCGAAAUUGCAAUGUGAGUAAAGAUGCUCACUAUGCGCGACAGGACGGAAAGACCCCGGAACCUUUACUGCAACUUGAUAUUGAAGUUUGGUGUGCAGUAUGCAGGAUAAGUGGGAGACUAUGAAAUAACGGCGCUAGUCGUUAUUGAGUCAUCCUUGAGAUACCACUUUCUUCAUAUUGAGCUUCUAACCUAGAUCCGUUAUCCGGAUCAGGGACAUUGUCUGGUGGGCAGUUUCACUGGGGCGGUGGCCUCCUAAAAAGUAACGGAGGCGCUCUAAGGUCACCUCAGCGUGGACGGCAAUCACGCAUCGAGUGUAAGUGCAAAAGGUGGCUUGACUGUGACACAAACAAGUGGAGCAGGUACGAAAGUAGGAACUAGUGAUCCCAUGGUUGCAUGUGGGUGCGCCAUGGCUCAUCGGCUAAAAGGUACUCCGGGGAUAACAGGCUUAUACCCCCCAAGAGUCCAUAUCGACGGGGGUGUUUGGCACCUCGAUGUCGGCUCUUCUCAUCCUGGGGCUGGAGCAGGUCCCAAGGGUUAGGCUGUUCGCCUAUUAAAGAGGAACGCGAGCUGGGUUCAGAACGUCGUGAGACAGUUCGGUCCCUAUCCGUCGCGCACGCAAGAGUUUUGAAGAAAGUUGUCCCUAGUACGAGAGGACCGGGAUGAACGAACCGCUGGUGUGCCAGUUGUCCUGCCAAGGGCACGGCUGGUUAGCUACGUUCGGAAAGGAUAAGCGCUGAAAGCAUCUAAGUGCGAAGCCCCUUCUAAGAUAAGAACUCUCACCGGAUUAACCGGGUAAGACUCCUUAUAGAACAUGAGGUUGAUAGGUCAGAAGUGUAAGUACAGUAAUGUAUUCAGCUGACUGAUACUAAUAAGUCGAGGGCUUGAACUG
rnacentral:rRNA from 1 species